rnacentral:rRNA from 1 species
UCAGGCCUAACACAUGCAAGUCGAGCGAGAAGGUUAUGAAGGAUUCUUCGGAAGACAGAGUAACUGGAAAGCGGCGGACGGGUGAGUAACGCGUGGGUAACCUGCCCUAUGGAGGGGGAUAACGUUUUGAAAAGAACGCUAAUACCGCAUAAGCGCACAGUAUCGCAUGGUACAGUGUGAAAAACUCCGGUGCCAUAGGAUGGACCCGCGUCAGAUUAGCUAGUUGGUGGGGUAAAGGCCUACCAAGGCAACGAUCUGUAGCCGACCUGAGAGGGUGAUCGGCCACAUUGGGACUGAGACACGGCCCAAACUCCUACGGGAGGCAGCAGUGGGGGAUAUUGCACAAUGGGGGAAACCCUGAUGCAGCAAUGCCGCGUGAAGGAAGAAGGUUUUCGGAUUGUAAACUUCUAUCAGCAGGGAAGAAAAUGACUGUACCUGACUAAGAAGCCCCGGCUAACUACGUGCCAGCAGCCGCGGUAAUACGUAGGGGGCAAGCGUUAUCCGGAAUUACUGGGUGUAAAGGGUACGUAGGCGGUGCAUCAAGUCAGAUGUGAAAGCCCGAGGCUCAACCUCGGGACUGCAUUUGAAACUAGUGUACUAGAGUACAGGAGAGGAAAGCGGAAUUCCUAGUGUAGCGGUGAAAUGCGUAGAUAUUAGGAAGAACACCAGUGGCGAAGGCGGCUUUCUGGACUGUUACUGA